rnacentral:rRNA from 1 species
UACGUAGGGUGCGAGCGUUGUCCGGAAUUAUUGGGCGUAAAGAGCUCGUAGGCGGUGUGUCACGUCGGCCGUGAAAACCUGCAGCUUAACUGUGGGCGUGCGGUCGAUACGGGCAUCACUGGAGUUCGGCAGGGGAGACUGGAAUUCCUGGUGUAGCGGUGAAAUGCGCAGAUAUCAGGAGGAACACCGGUGGCGAAGGCGGCUAUCUGGACAGAGUCUGACGCUGAGGCGCGAAAGCUAGGGGAGCAAACAGG